UAGGACCAACUGCAAGUUAAUGUGG
rnacentral:piRNA from 2 species